UCGAGAAUCUUCGGCAAUGGGCGCAAGCCUGACCGAGCGACGCCGCGUGGAGGACGAAGGCCUUCGGGUUGUAAACUCCUGUCGAGGGGGAAGAAGCCGCAAGGUUGACUGAACCCUGGAGGAAGCACGGGCUAAGUUCGUGCCAGCAGCCGCGGUAAGACGAACCGUGCGAACGUUAUUCGGAAUCACUGGGCUUAAAGCGCGUGUAGGCGGGAGGGCACGUCCGACGCUGAAAUCCCACGGCUCAACCGUGGAACGGGCGCGGAUACGACUCUUCUGGAGGAACGUAGGGGGACCUGGAACUUCCGGUGGAGCGGUGAAAUGCGUUGAGAUCGGAAGGAACGCCCGUGGCGAAAGCGAGGUCCUGGACGUUUACUGACGCUGAGACGCGAAAGCCAGGGGAGCGAACG
rnacentral:rRNA from 1 species